CAACCUCCACAGGCUGGCCAGCCCCCAGGCCCAGAUGGGAGAAUAUCUCUUUGAGAGGCUCACCCUCAAGUACAACUAGGAGC
rnacentral:pre_miRNA from 1 species